rnacentral:rRNA from 1 species
UUAAGCGACUAAGCGUACACGGUGGAUGCCCUGGCAGUCAGAGGCGAUGAAGGACGUGCUAAUCUGCGAUAAGCGUCGGUAAGGUGAUAUGAACCGUUAUAACCGGCGAUUUCCGAAUGGGGAAACCCAGUGUGUUUCGACACACUAUCAUUAACUGAAUCCAUAGGUUAAUGAGGCGAACCGGGGGAACUGAAACAUCUAAGUACCCCGAGGAAAAGAAAUCAACCGAGAUUCCCCCAGUAGCGGCGAGCGAACGGGGAGGAGCCCAGAGCCUGAAUCAGUGUGUGUGUUAGUGGAAGCGUCUGGAAAGGCGCGCGAUACAGGGUGACAGCCCCGUACACAAAAAUGCACAUGCUGUGAGCUCGAUGAGUAGGGCGGGACACGUGGUAUCCUGUCUGAAUAUGGGGGGACCAUCCUCCAAGGCUAAAUACUCCUGACUGACCGAUAGUGAACCAGUACCGUGAGGGAAAGGCGAAAAGAACCCCGGCGAGGGGAGUGAAAAAGAACCUGAAACCGUGUACGUACAAGCAGUGGGAGCACGCUUAGGCGUGUGACUGCGUACCUUUUGUAUAAUGGGUCAGCGACUUAUAUUCUGUAGCAAGGUUAACCGAAUAGGGGAGCCGAAGGGAAACCGAGUCUUAACUGGGCGUUAAGUUGCAGGGUAUAGACCCGAAACCCGGUGAUCUAGCCAUGGGCAGGUUGAAGGUUGGGUAACACUAACUGGAGGACCGAACCGACUAAUGUUGAAAAAUUAGCGGAUGACUUGUGGCUGGGGGUGAAAGGCCAAUCAAACCGGGAGAUAGCUGGUUCUCCCCGAAAGCUAUUUAGGUAGCGCCUCGUGAAUUCAUCUCCGGGGGUAGAGCACUGUUUCGGCAAGGGGGUCAUCCCGACUUACCAACCCGAUGCAAACUGCGAAUACCGGAGAAUGUUAUCACGGGAGACACACGGCGGGUGCUAACGUCCGUCGUGAAGAGGGAAACAACCCAGACCGCCAGCUAAGGUCCCAAAGUCAUGGUUAAGUGGGAAACGAUGUGGGAAGGCCCAGACAGCCAGGAUGUUGGCUUAGAAGCAGCCAUCAUUUAAAGAAAGCGUAAUAGCUCACUGGUCGAGUCGGCCUGCGCGGAAGAUGUAACGGGGCUAAACCAUGCACCGAAGCUGCGGCAGCGACGCUGAUGCGUUGUUGGGUAGGGGAGCGUUCUGUAAGCCUGCGAAGGUGUGCUGUGAGGCAUGCUGGAGGUAUCAGAAGUGCGAAUGCUGACAUAAGUAACGAUAAAGCGGGUGAAAAGCCCGCUCGCCGGAAGACCAAGGGUUCCUGUCCAACGUUAAUCGGGGCAGGGUGAGUCGACCCCUAAGGCGAGGCCGAAAGGCGUAGUCGAUGGGAAACAGGUUAAUAUUCCUGUACUUGGUGUUACUGCGAAGGGGGGACGGAGAAGGCUAUGUUGGCCGGGCGACGGUUGUCCCGGUUUAAGCGUGUAGGCUGGUUUUCCAGGCAAAUCCGGAAAAUCAAGGCUGAGGCGUGAUGACGAGGCACUACGGUGCUGAAGCAACAAAUGCCCUGCUUCCAGGAAAAGCCUCUAAGCAUCAGGUAACAUCAAAUCGUACCCCAAACCGACACAGGUGGUCAGGUAGAGAAUACCAAGGCGCUUGAGAGAACUCGGGUGAAGGAACUAGGCAAAAUGGUGCCGUAACUUCGGGAGAAGGCACGCUGAUAUGUAGGUGAAGCGACUUGCUCGUGGAGCUGAAAUCAGUCGAAGAUACCAGCUGGCUGCAACUGUUUAUUAAAAACACAGCACUGUGCAAACACGAAAGUGGACGUAUACGGUGUGACGCCUGCCCGGUGCCGGAAGGUUAAUUGAUGGGGUCAGCGCAAGCGAAGCUCUUGAUCGAAGCCCCGGUAAACGGCGGCCGUAACUAUAACGGUCCUAAGGUAGCGAAAUUCCUUGUCGGGUAAGUUCCGACCUGCACGAAUGGCGUAAUGAUGGCCAGGCUGUCUCCACCCGAGACUCAGUGAAAUUGAACUCGCUGUGAAGAUGCAGUGUACCCGCGGCAAGACGGAAAGACCCCGUGAACCUUUACUAUAGCUUGACACUGAACAUUGAGCCUUGAUGUGUAGGAUAGGUGGGAGGCUUUGAAGUGUGGACGCCAGUCUGCAUGGAGCCGACCUUGAAAUACCACCCUUUAAUGUUUGAUGUUCUAACGUUGACCCCUAAUCGGGGUUGCGGACAGUGUCUGGUGGGUAGUUUGACUGGGGCGGUCUCCUCCUAAAGAGUAACGGAGGAGCACGAAGGUUGGCUAAUCCUGGUCGGACAUCAGGAGGUUAGUGCAAUGGCAUAAGCCAGCUUGACUGCGAGCGUGACGGCGCGAGCAGGUGCGAAAGCAGGUCAUAGUGAUCCGGUGGUUCUGAAUGGAAGGGCCAUCGCUCAACGGAUAAAAGGUACUCCGGGGAUAACAGGCUGAUACCGCCCAAGAGUUCAUAUCGACGGCGGUGUUUGGCACCUCGAUGUCGGCUCAUCACAUCCUGGGGCUGAAGUAGGUCCCAAGGGUAUGGCUGUUCGCCAUUUAAAGUGGUACGCGAGCUGGGUUUAGAACGUCGUGAGACAGUUCGGUCCCUAUCUGCCGUGGGCGCUGGAGAACUGAGGGGGGCUGCUCCUAGUACGAGAGGACCGGAGUGGACGCAUCACUGGUGUUCGGGUUGUCAUGCCAAUGGCACUGCCCGGUAGCUAAAUGCGGAAGAGAUAAGUGCUGAAAGCAUCUAAGCACGAAACUUGCCCCGAGAUGAGUUCUCCCUGACUCCUUGAGAGUCCUGAAGGAACGUUGAAGACGACGACGUUGAUAGGCCGGGUGUGUAAGCGCAGCGAUGCGUUGAGCUAACCGGUACUAAUGAACCGUGAGGCUUAACCUU